UGAACAGACUGAAGUGAAGUGAUGAAAACUGGUAGCAUCCGUGUUAGAUCAGCGUGUCCACUGUGAACGCGUUAUAUUCCUAUAGUUUUAAAUGCAUCCAAAUAUAAAGCCUCACGCCUCCUCCGUUCAUGCAGAGGAUGAAUGGUUUGUGGAAAUAAACACAGUUUAACCACAAAGCACAGAUAAGAGAAAUUGCUGCUGGAAGUUACCAGGAAGAGAUGACAGAUUUUCAUUUAACCCGUUGUUAUGAACCCAGUAUAUCAGCUACGAAGAAUAGGAAGAUGUCACGCAGCGAUUUAGCGUUUCAAAAAUUAAAGAAGUACGAAGUAAAAUAUAAAACUAACCGAAAUUUGACAUCUGUACAGUCGGUGGAAGCAAAUAGUGAGUCUGAUAUAGAACAAUACAAAUCUGUUAUACCUGUGUACACCAGCCCAAGAGGCAGACAACAGGAUUUGACAACAUACUUUGAGGCGUCAAAACAUUGUCUUCAGAAGGCUGAAGAGACUGGCGGUCGAGCAUCAUUGAAAAACGGUAAUGUCACAUCAUCUGAUACACGUCCACGUAACAGAACACUUAUUAUUGACCUUAAAGUUGAUGAUGUUGACGUGGUUUAUUCAGAUGACUCGAAAACUGAGUUGAUUACCAAUUCUUCUCCAAACGCUUGUCGGGACAGAAAUAGUAUUUCACGGAAGAAGCAAUCUGAUGCCGAAAAGUUAACUGCUCAGAAAAAUAAGACCCUGUCUCCUCCAUUGAAGAUAUCAGUAAACAACAAACCUAGUGCGUCUGAUACAUCAGUUUCUAUUAACAAUUUAUGCAGGAAUAUAGUGCCAAAUGAUAAUCCCACAGAUUCAGGUGAUCAUACACAUAUUAACUCCGCCACAGCAGUUGAUAAAACAUCUGUCUGCACCAAGAACAUGAAGGAAAUUAAACAAGUUGACUUAUAUCUAACAGACGAAAUGAAAGAAGUGCAGGUACUGUCUCAGCCAGUAGAAUAUUGUCAAAAGCAAAACGAAAAUGAAUCAUUAAAACAAAUAAAUUGUGAUCUCUUUAGCAACGAAGACCCGGAGACUGUAAGAAGUGAAAUAUUUGAAAGUAACUCUGAGAUCACAAGUUUUGAAGUUCCUGAUAUUUCCAGUUCUUUUCAUAUAGAUAUUAGAGAAUCUUUACACCUGGACUCAGUGGUAACCCCAGAGAGUUCUGUUACCGCAGGUGAUGGUGUACCACAGAAUACAGACGAUAAAAAUGUCGCUGCUCUGGCAUCAAACAGUGUAACAGAUGGUCAUUUGCACAGUGCAAUCUCAGCAUUGUGCUCCAAAUGUAAAAAAAGUUUUAAAAAACAGUGUAAGACUCAAGCAGAUAAGACUUACUGUACUUGCAAUAGCAAAUCAACACAGACAAAUAUCAACAUGGACUUUGUACAUCACAUAAACAAUAUUCAUCUUUCUAACACAACUGUAGAGAAAGAUGUGCUGUUAUCACCGUGUAGUUUAUUUGUUUACCAUAACUUGCUUCAUCGUUAUUCAGAAGGUACAAAUUCUUCAGUCUUUCUUUUAGUAGAUUUGUAGAAGGAAGUAAUCAGCACGAUGUAACUCUUGCAAAAGAAAACAUAUGGUAAUUGCUCAUCUAUUAGUAUAGACUUUUCAGAUUAUUAAAUAGUUAUGGUAAAUUUGAGAUGAUAUAGGCGAACUGGAGUACAGGUGUAACACAAAGAUUAUCUCAUUUAAGAAAUUACAUUUCUAUGUUACAACAUUACAGAAUGUUCAGCAUGUUUCCUGUCAGCUCUUCAGUAUAUUUUUGAUACAGCUGGCUGUGUCAACAUAUAAGAUACAGUUAAGACAAUUAAUACAACAGCUUUGUGAAUUAAUAAAAGUACAUAUUGGUAGUAGGGCAAUCCCAGGUGCUAAUAUACUUAUUAAAACAUAUAUAGUUACUGGAAUACUUGUUUACACAUGUAUGUACAUGCUUAAUUACAAUUAUAUAUCAGUUACAUACAUUUACAGUUUUCAAUUACUUAUAGCUAGUUGAUUGAUGAUACUUGUAUACUUAUUUAUGCAUAAUUCUAAUUGUGUGAUUAUUACAAGUGAUUCUACUGAUAAAAACAUCAACCUGAAGCACAAUUCUUGAAAAUCACUCUCCAUGAAUUAAUCAACUGAGUAAAAUUCUUACUGUUUCAUUUAAGUUUAUAAAACUCCUGUUAACUUGUGUCAUUGAGUCAAUUGAGCUGUUUUUCUUUUCAGUUGGUUGAAGAAUUUAAGGCCUGUUUAUGGCUACUACAGAUGCGAGAAUCUAGAAUACAGUAAAUGUAUCAUGUGCCAAUUUUUUGUAUAGUGCAAAUGAACAUUAUUUCUUAGUCUGUUUUCUUUAGCAUAAAUUAGACAGCUAUAGAUGUAAAGGCUGAAGAAUGUCGUUAUGCGAAGUGCUCCAAACUGACUUCUUCAAACCUCUCUGGGAGGCAGACCCAGAGUACAUGGAACAGCUUUCUUCUGCCAUCGAGACCUGUAAGCUCACUCUGGUGCACUUCCCCACAACAGUAUUCUACAUUGUUGGUGUCCCAUCAAGAAGGAUCCUGAUCCUGCAGUUAGCUUCCUGGAUAAAAGUUUAAUGGAACAAGUCAAUAUAACACAAUAUUUGAUUAACAGCCAUCACACUCUGUAUAAUGCAUAUUGUACAGCUGUAAGAAACUUAUCAAAAAAUUAUCAACCCGUUACACUUGAAAAUACAAUGCAGUUUAUAAAGCACAGCAAGAAGAAGAAAAGGAAAAAAAUGGCUUCUCCAUGAAGCAAAACUCAUUUUUUACUGUGUAUAUUUUUUUGACGUCAGUAUUGACAUUUUUUGUAACCUAAUGGCAAUAUUAAAAAUGUAUCCAUACAAGUAAUCUAUAAAAUAUUCAUUAAUGAUGGUCUGAGCCACAGGGUGUUACCUACAACAGUUGUCAGCUAGGGACUUUAAAAAUAUUGUCUGUCCGUAAAUGAAUAUAAUCUACAGCUCGAGGCAGCAGCUCAUGUCUUUUUGCUAAUCAGAAUUCAAAUGAAUUGCAAACUCGAACUGUAAAAUUUGUGAUUUAUAACACAGAGAAGAGAUAUUUUUAAUUUUUUUAGGCAUGUUUAUCAAGUGAACAGCUUUCAGGAGGUCUUUUUAUGAUGUUUGUGUUGAUUUCUGUGUGACUUAUUUAAUACCUUGACAGUACUAAUUUAGCAAAAAGAAGUUAAAGAUGUAAAGAAUUGGGUAAGAAAAGAAAACAUACAUUCUUUUUAGAACAGAAUAUUCUCUAGACCUGUAUUAAGUGGCAAUAGCUCCUGUCAUUAUGAACCACUUACGGUUGGAGCAGAAUGCAAUGAUGUUAUUUAUUGGAGAUGCUUCACAGGGAUUAAGGGCAGAACUGGCUAAACAUUUGUCAUGAAAGUAAGUCAAAUUCCUUGAAAGAGCAUUUUGUAUCCAGUUUUUAAACCAUGGGAUUCCUCAAUUCAAGUCCAUCAUGUCAUUGCCGUGCUAGCUUGCUUUGUCAUUUAUGGAUAAGUGGGAUGCCAGUAUUUGAUUAUUAACUUAGUUUUUAAUUCUAUGAAAUAAACAAUUCUUUUGA